GAGCGANCUGAUUCAAGAUCCCUUCGGGNNUGAUUUGUUGGACGCUAGCGGCGGAUGGGUGAGUAACACGUGGGCAAUCUGCCCUAAAGACUGGGAUACCACUUGGAAACAGGUGCUAAUACCGGAUAACAACAUGAAUCGCAUGAUUCAAGUUUGAAAGGCGGCGUAAGCUGUCACUUUAGGAUGAGCCCGCGGCGCAUUAGCUAGUUGGUGGGGUAAAGGCCUACCAAGGCAAUGAUGCGUAGCCGAGUUGAGAGACUGAUCGGCCACAUUGGGACUGAGACACGGGCCA
rnacentral:rRNA from 1 species